rnacentral:rRNA from 1 species
UACGUAGGGUGCAGGCGUUAAUCGGAAUUACUGGGCGUAAAGCGUGCGCAGGCGGUUUGCUAAGACAGGUGUGAAAUCCCCGGGCUUAACCUGGGAACUGCGCUUGUAACCGGCAAGCUAGAGUGUGGCAGAGGGGGGUGGAAUUCCACGUGUAGCAGUGAAAUGCGUAGAGAUGUGGAGGAACACCGAUGGCGAAGGCAGCCCCCUGGGCUAACACUGACGCUCAUGCACGAAAGCGUGGGGAGCAAACAGG